rnacentral:ncRNA from 1 species
CAGAAGAGGAGCGCUGCCCAGGCAGCCCAAGGGAGGACACCAGAGUCCGGUGAACUUGGGUCAGGGGGAGCAGCGCCGAGACGAGUGAGGCAACUGGAUACCUCAACGUCGGCUGCGGGGGCUGAAUCCCCCGGGUUGUCAUCGGUCGUGUGCAUCCCACAGGCAUCCAGCAGGAUCCUUGUGGGAUGGGCACCGCGGAUGGAGUGCUUCUGG